rnacentral:rRNA from 1 species
CGGGGUGAGUAACGUCUGGGAAACUGCCUGAUGGAGGGGGAUAACUACUGGAAACGGUAGCUAAUACCGCAUAAUGUCGCAAGACCAAAGUGGGGGACCUUCGGGCCUCAUGCCAUCAGAUGUGCCCAGAUGGGAUUAGCUAGUAGGUGGGGUAACGGCUCACCUAGGCGACGAUCCCUAGCUGGUCUGAGAGGAUGACCAGCCACACUGGAACUGAGACACGGUCCAG